rnacentral:piRNA from 1 species
UGGGGAUGGAACUCUAACUAGGUGACACC